UACGGAGGGUGCAAGCGUUAUCCGGAUUCACUGGGUUUAAAGGGUGCGUAGGUGGGCAGGUAAGUCAGUGGUGAAAUCUCCGGGCUUAACCCGGAAACUGCCGUUGAUACUAUUUGUCUUGAAUAUUGUGGAGGUAAGCGGAAUAUGUCAUGUAGCGGUGAAAUGCUUAGAUAUGACAUAGAACACCAAUUGCGAAGGCAGCUUACUACACAAUCAUUGACACUGAGGCACGAAAGCGUGGGGAGCAAACAGG
rnacentral:rRNA from 1 species